GACUGAAACAAAUCACCCCCUCUUUCCUUUUCCCAAGUCACACAUGCCCAGCGGCUGAGAGUUAACAAGCAAGUGACAGCAAAUCAAGGCUGGGCCGAGACCUCCGCGUUUAAAAAUAAGUGUCUGGACUUCCAGGAAGCUUGUUUUGUCUCCUUCUGGCCCCAUCCCCACACUCCCUCCCUGCUUUACUGUCUCUUCGGGGAAGGGAGUGGGCUGGAGUCGUCCCCGGUGAGCAGAAAGGGUUAAUUGCCUCUUGGGUGGAUUAUACCACCCCUGCGAGCUCGCUUGCGGUGUUCUAGGGCUUUUCCUCCACUUUCUUCUCUCUUGCAGGCCGAUUAAACACUCUUUGAGUUGGAACCGGGUUUUGUGUCACAACAGCGCAGCCGCUGCCGGCUGGGUGCCAGGCAGGGAAUAUGCACCGUAUUGAAAUGGGAUGGCUCGGGCCAGGGCCCCCGGAAGGGCCCGGAGCGCUGUUGAGAUGGAGAAGAGCCGCCACUUGGCUCCUUCUGUUCACAGAUAAACGGAUACCCAGGAGGGGCACAGAUCCUUCAAUCAGCCAGUUUCGGGAACCUGAGG
rnacentral:lncRNA from 1 species